UCGGGAAUUUUGGGCAAUGGGCGAAAGCCUGACCCAGCAACGCCGCGUGAAGGAUGAAGUAUUUCGGUAUGUAAACUUCGUAAGAAUAGGAAGAAUAAAUGACGGUACUAUUUGUAAGGUCCGGCUAACUACGUGCCAGCAGCCGCGGUAAUACGUAGGGACCAAGCGUUGUUCGGAUUUACUGGGCGUAAAGGGCGCGUAGGCGGCGUGGUAAGUCAUCUGUGAAAUCUCCGAGCUUAACUCGGAACGGUCAGAUGAUACUGCUGUGCUAGAGUACAGAAAGGGCAAUCGGAAUUCUUGGUGUAGCGGUGAAAUGCGUAGAUAUCAAGAGGAACACCUGAGGCGAAGGCGGGUUGCUAGGCUGAUACUGACGCUGAGGCGCGAAAGCUAGGGUAGCAAACGGGAUUAGAUACCCGCGUAGUCCCUGAGCGGGCUGGCAAGGCGCAU
rnacentral:rRNA from 1 species